UGGGGAAUCUUAGACAAUGGGCGCCCAUGAUCUAGCCAUGCCGCGUGAUCGAUGAAGGCCUUAGGGUUGUAAAGAUCUUUCAGUUGGGAAGAUAAUGACGGUACCAACAGAAGAAGCCCCGGCUAACUCCGUG
rnacentral:rRNA from 1 species